GAUGAACGCUAGCUACAGGCUUAACACAUGCAAGUCGAGGGGAAACGACAUCGAAAGCUUGCUUUUGAUGGGCGUCGACCGGCGCACGGGCGAGUAACGCGUAUCCAACCUGCCCAUCACUUGGGAAUAACCUUGCGAAAGUAAGACUAAUACCCAAUGAUAUCCCACGAAGGCAUCGGAAUGGGAUUAAAGAUUUAUCGGUGAUGGAUGGGGAUGCGUCUGAUUAGCUUGUUGGCGGGGUAACGGCCCACCAAGGCAACGAUCAGUAGGGGUUCUGAGAGGAAGGUCCCCCACAUUGGAACUGAGACACGGUCCAAACUCCUACGGGAGGCAGCAGUGAGGAAUAUUGGUCAAUGGGCGAGAGCCUGAACCAGCCAAGUAGCGUGCAGGAAGACGGCCCUAUGGGUUGUAAACUGCUUUUAUAAGGGAAUAAAGUGGGUCACGUGUGACUUUUUGCAUGUACCUUAUGAAUAAGGACCGGCUAAUUCCGUG
rnacentral:rRNA from 1 species